GAUGAACGCUGGCGGCGUGCCUAAUACAUGCAAGUCGAGCGGCAGCGCGAGUAGUUUACUACUUGGCGGCGAGCGGCGGACGGCUGAGUAACGCGUAGGAACGUACCCCAAAGUGAGGGAUAAGCACCAGAAAUGGUGUCUAAUACCGCAUGUGAUCUAAGGAUUAAAGCUUCGGCGCUUUGGGAACGGCCUGCGUUAGAUUAGCUUGUUGGUGAGGUAAAAGCUCACCAAGGCGACGAUCAAUAGCUGGUCUGAGAGGAUGAUCAGCCAGACUGGGACUGAGACACGGCCCAGACUCCUACGGGAGGCAGCAGUAGGGAAUUUUCCACAAUGGGCGAAAGCCUGAUGGAGCAACGCCGCGUGCAGGAUGAAGGCCUUAGGGUUGUAAACUGCUUUUAUAUGUGACGAAUAUGACGGUAGCAUAUGAAUAAGGAUCGGCUAACUCCGUGCCAGCCGCCGCCGUAAAAC
rnacentral:rRNA from 1 species